GAUGAACGCUGGCGGCGUGCCUAAUACAUGCAAGUCGAGCGAACGGACGAGAAGCUUGCUUUUCUGAUGUUAGCGGCGGACGGGUGAGUAACACGUGGACAACCUACCUAUAAGACUGGGAUAACUUCGGGAAACCGGAGCUAAUACCGGAUAAUAUUUUGAACCGCAUGGUUCAAAAGUGAAAGACGGUCUUGCUGUCACUUAUAGAUGGAUCCGCGCUGCAUUAGCUAGUUGGUAAGGUAACGGCUUACCAAGGCAACGAUGCAUAGCCGACCUGAGAGGGUGAUCGGCCACACUGGAACUGAGACACGGUCCAGACUCCUACGGGGGGCAGCAGUAGGGAAUCUUCCGCAAUGGGCGAAAGCCUGACGGAGCAACGCCGCGUGAGUGAUGAAGGUCUUCGGAUCGUAAAACUCUGUUAUUAGGGAAGAACAUAUGUGUAAGUAACUGUGCACAUCUUGACGGUACCUAAUCAGAAAGCCACGGCUAACUACGUGCCAGCAGCCGCGGUAAUACGUAGGUGGCAAGCGUUAUCCGGAAUUAUUGGGCGUAAAGCGCGCGUAGGCGGUUUUUUAAGUCUGAUGUGAAAGCCCACGGCUCAACCGUGGAGGGUCAUUGGAAACUGGAAAACUUGAGUGCAGAAGAGGAAAGUGGAAUUCCAUGUGUAGCGGUGAAAUGCGCAGAGAUAUGGAGGAACACCAGUGGCGAAGGCGACUUUCUGGUCUGUAACUGACGCUGAUGUGCGAAAGCGUGGGGAUCAAACAGGAUUAGAUACCCUGGUAGUCCACGCCGUAAACGAUGAGUGCUAAGUGUUAGGGGGUUUCCGCCCCUUAGUGCUGCAGCUAACGCAUUAAGCACUCCGCCUGGGGAGUACGACCGCAAGGUUGAAACUCAAAGGAAUUGACGGGGACCCGCACAAGCGGUGGAGCAUGUGGUUUAAUUCGAAGCAACGCGAAGAACCUUACCAAAUCUUGACAUCCUUUGACAACUCUAGAGAUAGAGCCUUCCCCUUCGGGGGACAAAGUGACAGGUGGUGCAUGGUUGUCGUCAGCUCGUGUCGUGAGAUGUUGGGUUAAGUCCCGCAACGAGCGCAACCCUUAAGCUUAGUUGCCAUCAUUAAGUUGGGCACUCUAAGUUGACUGCCGGUGACAAACCGGAGGAAGGUGGGGAUGACGUCAAAUCAUCAUGCCCCUUAUGAUUUGGGCUACACACGUGCUACAAUGGACAAUACAAAGGGUAGCGAAACCGCGAGGUCAAGCAAAUCCCAUAAAGUUGUUCUCAGUUCGGAUUGUAGUCUGCAACUCGACUAUAUGAAGCUGGAAUCGCUAGUAAUCGUAGAUCAGCAUGCUACGGUGAAUACGUUCCCGGGUCU
rnacentral:rRNA from 1 species